GUUUGAUCCUGGCUCAGAUUGAACGCUGGCGGCAUGCCUUACACAUGCAAGUCGAACGGUAACAGGAAGAAGCUUGCUUCUUUGCUGACGAGUGGCGGACGGGUGAGUAAUGCUUGGGAACUUGCCUUUGCGAGGGGGAUAACAGUUGGAAACGACUGCUAAUACCGCAUAAUGUCUUCGGACCAAACGGGGCUUAGGCUCCGGCGCAAAGAGAGGCCCAAGUGAGAUUAGCUAGUUGGUAAGGUAACGGCUUACCAAGGCGACGAUCUCUAGCUGUUCUGAGAGGAAGAUCAGCCACACUGGGACUGAGACACGGCCCAGACUCCUACGGGAGGCAGCAGUGGGGAAUAUUGCACAAUGGGGGAAACCCUGAUGCAGCCAUGCCGCGUGUGUGAAGAAGGCCUUCGGGUUGUAAAGCACUUUCAGUUGUGAGGAAAAGUUAGUAGCUAAUACCUGCUAGCCGUGACGUUAACAACAGAAGAAGCACCGGCUAACUCCGUGCCAGCAGCCGCGGUAA
rnacentral:rRNA from 1 species